rnacentral:rRNA from 1 species
CCUACGGGGGGCAGCAGUGAGGAAUAUUGGUCAAUGGGCGAGAGCCUGAACCAGCCAAGUCGCGUGAAGGAUGACGGCCCUACGGGUUGUAAACUUCUUUUGUCAGGGAGCAAUUGGGUCCACGCGUGGGCUUAGCGAGAGUACCUGAAGAAAAAGCAUCGGCUAACUCCGUUCCAGCAGCCGCGGUAAUACGGGGGAUGCGAGCGUUAUCCGGAUUUAGUGGGUUUAAAGGGUGCGUAGGCGGAAUAUCAAGGCAGCGGUAAAAAUUCGGGGCUAAACCCCGUCGUGCCGUUGAAACUGAUGUUCUUGAGUGGGCGAGAGGUAUGCGGAAUGCGUGGUGUAGCGGUGAAAUGCAUAGAUAUCACGCAGAACUCCGAUUGCGAAGGCAGCAUACCGGCGCCCAACUGACGCUGAAGCACGAAAGCGUGGGUAUCGAACAGGAUUAGAUACCCGAGUAGUC